rnacentral:rRNA from 1 species
UACGGGGGGCAGCAGUGGGGAAUAUUGCGCAAUGGGGGAAGCCCUGACGCAGCGACGCCGCGUGUAGGAAGAAGGCCUUCGGGUCGUAAACUACUGUCAAGAGGGAAGAAACUGUUAGGUCAUAAUACGGCCUUUCACUGACGGUACCUCUAGAGGAAGCACCGGCUAACUCCGUGCCAGCAGCCGCGGUAAUACGGAGGGUGCGAGCGUUAAUCGGAAUCACUGGGCGUAAAGCGUGCGUAGGCGGCGCUUCAAGUCAGGCGUGAAAGCCCUCGGCUCAACCGAGGAAUUGCGCUUGAAACUGUCGUGCUCGAGUCUCGGAGAGGUUGGCGGAAUUCCAGGUGUAGGAGUGAAAUCCGUAGAUAUCUGGAGGAACACCGGCGGCGAAGGCGGCCAACUGGACGAGUACUGACGCUGAGGUACGAAAGCGUGGGUAGCAAACAGGAUUAGAUACCCUUGUAGUC